rnacentral:lncRNA from 1 species
UAACAUUAACAAGUCCUAAAACAUCAGCACAAACACCUAGCUUUAAUGUGUCACUAGGACAUUUUUGUGAUGUUGAAGGAGUAGGAGGUGUUGUUGAAGGUGUUGGAGGACAUGGUGUUGAUGAAGGUGGUGGAGGACUAGGCUUUGGCUUUGGCUUAGGCUUAGGUGAUGGAGUUGGUUUGCAUGAACCACAAGCAUGUGAAAAUGUUGAAUAAGCAAGGAGAGAAAACAAUAUAAUUAGGGCACUAAGCUUGUUGGAAGCCAUUGUUAAGAAAUGUACGCUAAUGCUUUUGUGU